GAUGAACGCUAGCUACAGGCUUAACACAUGCAAGUCGAGGGACCGGCGCGCGGGUGAGUAACACGUAUCCCACCUUCCCUUUACUCGGGGAUAGCCUUUCGAAAGAAAGAUUACUCCCCGAUAUAAUGGAUGGGGAUGCGUUCCAUUAGGUUGUUGGUGAAGUAACGGCCCACCCAGCCUUCGAUGGAUAGGGGUUCGGGGAGGAAGUUCCCCCACAUUGGAGCUGAGACACGGUCCACACUCCUACGGGGGGCAGCAGUAAGGCAUAUUGGUCAAUGGGCGUUAGCCUGAACCAGCCAAGUAGCGUGAAGGAUGAAGGCUUAUGGGUCGUAAACUUCUGUUAUAUAAGAAUAUGUAUUAUAUGAAUAAGGAUCGGCUAACUCCGUGCCAGCAGCCGCGGUAAUAC
rnacentral:rRNA from 1 species